AUUGAACGCUGGCGGCAUGCCUUACACAUGCAAGUCGAACGGUAACAGGUUAAGCUGACGAGUGGCGAACGGGUGAGUAAUGUAUCGGAACGUGCCCAGUCGUGGGGGAUAACUGCUCGAAAGAGCAGCUAAUACCGCAUACGACCUGAGGGUGAAAGCGGGGGAUCGCAAGACCUCGCGCGAUUGGAGCGGCCGAUAUCAGAUUAGGUAGUUGGUGAGGUAAAGGCUCACCAAGCCGACGAUCUGUAGCUGGUCUGAGAGGACGACCAGCCACACUGGGACUGAGACACGGCCCAGACUCCUACGGGAGGCAGCAGUGGGGAAUUUUGGACAAUGGGCGCAAGCCUGAUCCAGCCAUGCCGCGUGCGGGAAGAAGGCCUUCGGGUUGUAAACCGCUUUUGUCAGGGAAGAAAAGGUUCUGGCUAAUACCUGGGACUCAUGACGGUACCUGAAGAAUAAGCACCGGCUAACUACGUGCCAGCCGCCGCCGUAACAC
rnacentral:rRNA from 1 species